rnacentral:rRNA from 1 species
UGGGGAAUAUUGGUCAAUGGGCGAAAGCCUGAACCAGCAAUGCCGCGUGAGUGAUGAAGGCCUUCGGGUUGUAAAGCUCUGUCAGUGGGAACGAAUAAGCCGUUUAAUACACGGUGGUGACGGUACCCACAAAGGAAGCACCGGCUAACUCUGUGCCAGCAGCCGCGGUAAUACAGAGGGUGCAAGCGUUGUUCGGAAUUACUGGGCGUAAAGCGCGUGUAGGCGGUCUGGUAAGUCGGUUGUGAAAUCCCUUGGCUCAACCAAGGAACUGCAUCCGAAACUACUAGACUUGAGUAUCGGAGGGGAUGGCGGAAUUCCCGGUGUAGAGGUGAAAUUCGUGGAUAUCGGGAGGAACACCUGUGGCGAAGGCGGCCAUCUGGAAGAUUACUGACGCUGAGACGCGAAAGCGUGGGGAGCAA